rnacentral:lncRNA from 14 species
AGGAAACAACUAGAACAACAUUGAAACAUUAACAUGGCAUUGAAGAAUUCCAGACAGAAUUAGGAAAUGAAAAGGUUGGGAUUCUCAGAGCAAUAUCAAGUCACCAUUAAGUAUGCAGAUCUUACUUGUGGACCGCAUAUAAAAUUCACAAUACUCUGUGUAUGCAGUAUUGUUUUGCUCUGUGAAGCAAAAAUAUCAAGUAUGCACAAGCUGUUUUAAAAGAUCAUCUAACAUUAUCAGCAUCAAAUUUUAUAUGCAGCCCCAUUUUAUUCCUGGUUUUUGAGUUGCCAUUGUCACAAAACAAAACUAGACAAAAUUUUUACCAUUCUACAUCAUUUAAAAGAAAAUGCCUAUGGUGAAGUAACUGAGACACAAUUAAAAUGUGCUAAGCCUUACACCAUAAAAGGGGAAAAUAUAUUUAGUACUUGCCAUCUGAAAGAGUUUCAUGAGCACAGGAAAAUUGCUGUUUGGGAACAUGACUGUUGAUUUCUGCAAAAUGUGAAAAGCAAGUCAGUGAAAGCUAUAAUGUAAAUUUGAAAAUAGGAACUUACCAAAGAAGGCCUCAGAGGAAUGGACUGCUUUGUUCCUAGUCACCUUUCAGCUGCUGGUUCUUGAGAUCACCUGUGAUUUGAUGCUAUACGUAUUUUAGAUGUCCAGUUGCCAUUAAACUCUUCACAGCUGAGGAAGCAGACAUCAUGAACAGAAAGGUUGUGAAAAGCAGACCAGACAAAUGGGGUGUUACAGAGCAAGAUGAUAAGAGGUGAACAAAUAAACAGUUUCUGGAACAACAUUUCCAACAACACGAGCUGAAAAAAACUUCAGGAAACAGGAAGCAUUGGUUGUGAAAACGAACUAAGAGAAGAUGGAAGGACAUGAAAGAGAAGAAAGUCAGCCAAGCCUCUAAAAAUGGGAACAAAGGCACUGCAUGUUUUCAAACAAAUAUUUCAGAGUCAGGGCCACAGAAGAACCCAAUCUGGGACUUGUGCUGGGUUGCAGAACACCAAGCUCCAGUUGCUAAAAAGAAUUCAUCAGUGAGAAGGAAAAUGCAAUUUGUCAUAAAUGACUUAACACCAGUCACCAAAUGCUUCAGAUAAAUGAAAAGGAACACUACAAGAAGCAAAUACAACAGGUCAGCACUGCCACGUAAGAUUUAUAUGAAAUUUUAUGGGAAUCGAAAACCUCAUUUAAAAAAUAAAUCAUUAUCAUUGUAAUUCA